rnacentral:rRNA from 1 species
ACGAACGCUGGCGGCGUGCUUAACACAUGCCAGUCGAACGGAAGGGCCCUGCUUUUGUGGGGUGCUCGAGUGGCGAACGGGUGAGUAACACGUGAGUAACCUGCCCUUGACUUUGGGAUAACUUCAGGAAACUGGGGCUAAUACCGGAUAGGAGCUCCUGCUGCAUGGUGGGGGUUGGAAAGUUUCGGCGGUUGGGGAUGGACUCGCGGCUUAUCAGCUUGUUGGUGGGGUAGUGGCUUACCAAGGCUUUGACGGGUAGCCGGCCUGAGAGGGUGACCGGCCACAUUGGGACUGAGAUACGGCCCAGACUCCUACGGGAGGCAGCAGUGGGGAAUAUUGCACAAUGGGCGGAAGCCUGAUGCAGCAACGCCGCGUGCGGGAUGACGGCCUUCGGGUUGUAAACCGCUUUCGCCUGUGACGAAGCGUGAGUGACGGUAAUGGGUAAAGAAGCACCGGCUAACUACGUG